AACCCAGUUCAUAUCCAAAAGGAAUGGAGCAAAACAUUGGAAGCAUCCCCUUGAAGGUUGGCAUAAGUAUGGAGAAUGUCCAGAAGGAACAAUCCCCAUUGUUAGAUCUCAACAACACAAACCUGGGUGGAAAGCAACCUUUUUUCCUCGUGGUAAACAGCUUGAGGUUAAUGUUGGCAGUGAUCACGAGUAUGCUCAAGUUUCUGCACUGAUGGCAACUAUUUCGGAGCAAGUGCUCGGCUAAUGUAUGGAAACCAGCAACAUUUAAUAACGAGAUUAGCUUAGCACAAAUUUGGGUUUUCUCGGGAAAUGAGAUGUAUGACUGUGGAAGCUGGAUGGCAAGCUUUCACGAACACGAAUCAUACACUUUUAUUC